rnacentral:rRNA from 1 species
UACAGAGGUGGCAAGCGUUGUUCGGAAUUACUGGGCGUAAAGGGCGCGUAGGCGGCCUUCUAAGUCAGACGUGAAAUCCCCCGGCUUAACCUGGGAACUGCGUCUGAUACUGGAAGGCUUGAGUGCGGGAGAGGGAUGCGGAAUUCCAGGUGUAGCGGUGAAAUGCGUAGAUAUCUGGAGGAACACCUGUGGCGAAAGCGGCGCACUGGACCACAACUGACGCUGAGGCGCGAAAGCUAGGGGAGCAAACAGG